UACGGGAGGCAGCAGUGGGGAAUAUUGCACAAUGGGCGCAAGCCUGAUGCAGCCAUGCCGCGUGUAUGAAGAAGGCCUUCGGGUUGUAAAGUACUUUCAGUCGUGAGGAAGGUGUUAAGGUUAAUAACCUUAGCAAUUGACGUUAGCGACAGAAGAAGCACCGGCUAACUCCGUGCCAGCAGCCGCGGUAAUACGGAGGGUGCGAGCGUUAAUCGGAAUUACUGGGCGUAAAGGGCACGCAGGCGGUUAAUUAAGUUGGAUGUGAAAUCCCCGGGCUUAACCUGGGAAUGGCAUUCAAGACUGGUUAGCUAGAGUCUUGUAGAGGGGGUAGAAUUCCAUGUGUAGCGGUGAAAUGCGUAGAGAUGUGGAGGAAUACCGGUGGCGAAGGCGGCCCCUGGGACAAAGGACUGACGCUCGAUGUGCGAAAGCGUGGGGAGCAAAC
rnacentral:rRNA from 1 species